rnacentral:rRNA from 3 species
GUGUGACCCCAGGAUGGGCGGGGUGACCCGCUGAGUUUAAGCAUAUCAAUAAGCGGAGGAGAAGAAACUUACGAGGAUUCCCCUA